CAUCACCCACCUUUUCACAGCAACGACGUGUUUUUUACAUUUGCCUGUCUGUUCAUUUUUGUUUGUUUGUUUUUACUCUUUCAGAGAUAAAGUUUAAAAAGUAGUUAGGAAAAGCGAGGUGGGAAGAUUCUUCAAGGUAUUUCUCUUGCUUUUCAGAUGGGAUCCCUUGUCCAGUGGCCCCCGAGGGCUGAUGUGUGUUCCAGUGGGCCAUCUGCUCUGGGAGAGUGAGUGAGGUUGACAUGUGGUACAGAGUCCUGCAUCACCUUGGGAAUUACUUUGGUUCUGGAAUACUCAAGGAGAAGGAAAAGCUCUAUGGAAGGUUGAUUUCAUUUGAAAUGGAAUAUUCAAAAGAUCUGUUCAAGUUGAAGACUGUUUCCUCAAGGAGCUAUGUCAUAGGAUGAACAUUUUUAGAAUGGAAACAGCAACCAUAUUCUGGGAAGGGGCCAGCAGGAAGAGUGUUUAUGGACCCUCAGAAGUAAAAGGACAUUUAAAGAGAAUCUAUUUGAAAGCUUUCAUCCUGCAGAGCAAGAAACCGGGUGUAGAGUCAUCACAUGACUUGCCAAGGUCACUUUGCUGUUUCAUGGGGGAACCAGUAACAGAAUCCAGGUCUCUGGAUUCUGAGUCAGAAUUGUUUCUGCACAGCCAUGGAGUCCCAGCUGCUUAUUUAGGCAGAGUGAUCUGAAGGUGGUGCAGUCUAAGGCAGAGCAAAGAACGGUCAAUGAGUGCAAAUUUUCCAGCCAGUUGAUUUGUCAACAACCAUAUUUGUCAUAUGUAUGUAAAAGGGCAAAUCACAAGAGUUAGGGUUUAAGGAAUAAUUCUCAAGGAAUGUUCAAUGAUUAGAUGAGAAAGCAAC